CAGGAUGAACGCUAGCUACAGGCUUAACACAUGCAAGUCGAGGGGCAGCAUGGUCUUAGCUUGCUAAGGCCGAUGGCGACCGGCGCACGGGUGAGUAACACGUAUCCAACCUGCCGUCUACUCUUGGACAGCCUUCUGAAAGGAAGAUUAAUACAAGAUGGCAUCAUGAGUCCACAUGUUCACAUGAUUAAAGGUAUUCCGGUAGACGAUGGGGAUGCGUUCCAUUAGAUAGUAGGCGGGGUAACGGCCCACCUAGUCUUCGAUGGAUAGGGGUUCUGAGAGGAAGGUCCCCCACAUUGGAACUGAGACACGGUCCAAACUCCUACGGGAGGCAGCAGUGAGGAAUAUUGGUCAAUGGGCGAGAGCCUGAACCAGCCAGGUAGCGUGAAGGAUGACUGCCCUAUGGGUUGUAAACUUCUUUUAUAAAGGAAUAAAGUCGGGUAUGGAUACCCGUUUGCAUGUACUUUAUGAAUAAGGAUCGGCUAACUCCGUGCCAGCAGCCGCGGUAAUACGGAGGAUCCGAGCGUUAUCCGGAUUUAUUGGGUUUAAAGGGAGCGUAGAUGGAUGUUUAAGUCAGUUGUGAAAGUUUGCGGCUCAACCGUAAAAUUGCAGUUGAUACUGGAUAUCUUGAGUGCAGUUGAGGCAGGCGGAAUUCGUGGUGUAGCGGUGAAAUGCUUAGAUAUCACGAAGAACUCCGAUUGCGAAGGCAGCCUGCUAAGCUGCAACUGACAUUGAGGCUCGAAAGUGUGGGUAUCAAACAGGAUUAGAUACCCUGGUAGUCCACACGGUAAACGAUGAAUACUCGCUGUUUGCGAUAUACGGCAAGCGGCCAAGCGAAAGCGUUAAGUAUUCCACCUGGGGAGUACGCCGGCAACGGUGAAACUCAAAGGAAUUGACGGGGGCCCGCACAAGCGGAGGAACAUGUGGUUUAAUUCGAUGAUACGCGAGGAACCUUACCCGGGCUUAAAUUGCAGAUGAAUUACGGUGAAAGCCGUAAGCCGCAAGGCAUCUGUGAAGGUGCUGCAUGGUUGUCGUCAGCUCGUGCCGUGAGGUGUCGGCUUAAGUGCCAUAACGAGCGCAACCCUUGUUGUCAGUUACUAACAGGUUCUGCUGAGGACUCUGACAAGACUGCCAUCGUAAGAUGUGAGGAAGGUGGGGAUGACGUCAAAUCAGCACGGCCCUUACGUCCGGGGCUACACACGUGUUACAAUGGGGGGUACAGAGGGCCGCUACCACGCGAGUGGAUGCCAAUCCCAAAAACCUCUCUCAGUUCGGACUGGAGUCUGCAACCCGACUCCACGAAGCUGGAUUCGCUAGUAAUCGCGCAUCAGCCACGGCGCGGUGAAUACGUUCCCGGGCCUUGUACACACCGCCCGUCAAGCCAUGGGAGCCGGGGGUACCUGAAGUGCGUAACCGCGAGGAGCGCCCUAGGGUA
rnacentral:rRNA from 1 species